AGCCUCCCUCCAUAGAUUUCUUCACCAGUCUUCUUCUUCUUCUGC
rnacentral:sRNA from 1 species